AAACUUCUGACGUCACGCAUCCCAUGAUUGAUAUAUUCGAACAGCAUUGACGUUCAGGUAGGGUAUAUUAUCUACCCAGCAAUUUCGGACAGAAUGAAAAUCGCAGGUUAUGACUAUGCCAUGUCCAUAAACAAACCAAUUUUUACAACUUCGUACACGAAUAAAGAUUCACCAUGCCAAAUAACUUUCUUCCCAGA